AUGAACGCUAGCUACAGGCUUAACACAUGCAAGUCGAGGGGCAGCAUUUUAGUUUGCUUGCAAACUGAAGAUGGCGACCGGCGCACGGGUGAGUAACACGUAUCCAACCUGCCGAUAACUCCGGAAUAGCCUUUCGAAAGAAAGAUUAAUACCGGAUGGCAUACGAAUAUCGCAUGAUAUUUUUAUUAAAGAAUUUCGGUUAUCGAUGGGGAUGCGUUCCAUUAGUUUGUUGGCGGGGUAACGGCCCACCAAGACUACGAUGGAUAGGGGUUCUGAGAGGAAGGUCCCCCACAUUGGAACUGAGACACGGUCCAAACUCCUACGGGAGGCAGCAGUGAGGAAUAUUGGUCAAUGGGCGAGAGCCUGAACCAGCCAAGUAGCGUGAAGGAUGAAGGCUCUAUGGGUCGUAAACUUCUUUUAUAUGGGAAUAAAGUUUUCCACGUGUGGAAUUUUGUAUGUACCAUAUGAAUAAGGAUCGGCUAACUCCGUGCCAGCAGCCGCGGUAAUACGGAGGAUCCGAGCGUUAUCCGGAUUUAUUGGGUUUAAAGGGAGCGUAGGUGGAUUGUUAAGUCAGUUGUGAAAGUUUGCGGCUCAACCGUAAAAUUGCAGUUGAAACUGGGAGUCUUGAGUACAGUAGAGGUGGGCGGAAUUCGUGGUGUAGCGGUGAAAUGCUUAGAUAUCACGAAGAACUCCGAUUGCGAAGGCAGCUCACUAGACUGUCACUGACACUGAUGCUCGAAAGUGUGGGUAUCAAACAGGAUUAGAUACCCUGGUAGUCCACACAGUAAACGAUGAAUACUCGCUGUUUGCGAUAUACGGCAAGCGGCCAAGCGAAAGCAUUAAGUAUUCCACCUGGGGAGUACGCCGGCAACGGUGAAACUCAAAGGAAUUGACGGGGGCCCGCACAAGCGGAGGAACAUGUGGUUUAAUUCGAUGAUACGCGAGGAACCUUACCCGGGCUUAAAUUGCAACAGAAUAUAUUGGAAACAGUAUAGCCGUAAGGCUGUUGUGAAGGUGCUGCAUGGUUGUCGUCAGCUCGUGCCGUGAGGUGUCGGCUUAAGUGCCAUAACGAGCGCAACCCUUAUCUUUAGUUACUAACAGGUUAUGCUGAGGACUCUAGAGAGACUGCCGUCGUAAGAUGUGAGGAAGGUGGGGAUGACGUCAAAUCAGCACGGCCCUUACGUCCGGGGCUACACACGUGUUACAAUGGGGGGUACAGAAGGCGGCUACCUGGUGACAGGAUGCUAAUCCCAAAAACCUCUCUCAGUUCGGAUCGAAGUCUGCAACCCGACUUCGUGAAGCUGGAUUCGCUAGUAAUCGCGCAUCAGCCAUGGCGCGGUGAAUACGUUCCCGGGCCUUGUACACACCGCCCGUCAAGCCAUGAAAGCCGGGGGUACCUGAAGUACGUAACCGCAAGGAGCGUCCUAGGGUAAAACUGGUAAUUGGGGCU
rnacentral:rRNA from 1 species